UGGGGCUUGGAGCAAACGUUGCCGCAGAGCCCUGAACAGUAAGAGCUUUUAAACAGCUGUUCGCAGAGCCCUGGACGGUCAGACUCGAGGGAGCAGCUCCGGCUGUGAUCGCCGAGUGCGAAGGGGUUCAGAGGAGUUUGGGCCCCUCGCGGCCUCCCCAAACCCAGGGUCUAGGUUCGGGUCCCGGGGUGCACGGCUGGGGGGCGCCGAGGCGUGGUCGUUCGCUGAGGUCUGGACCCUUGUGGCUCCCCGUAGGGCCUGGGGUUCGGCGUAGCUUGGCCUCCUCCCAGCUCUGGGACAGGCCGGACACCCCGCCUCCAACCUCCCGGACACCCGCCACUCAAGAUCUGCGCAGCUCGACUCCGACGCAGGGCGGGUACCGAGCCCGCGGACAGAGCCGGGCAGUGUCGCCACCAAGGGUCAAUUAUUCAUGGGGCGCCUGGGCGUGCUCCCAAGACCAGCUCUGUCCUCGGCUUCUCCGGAGGACUGGAGACAACACGGGGGAAAAGUUCCCAGAGCAAAGUUGGCCACAUUUCUGAUUUUCCCAACUUCCUGAACUGAAGUGACUAACCGUGUCCAGUAAAUAACUUAGACCCAGUUUCCUGCCUUAUGAAAAUAGAGGUAGUCGAAGUUGGGUGCGAUGCUACAUACCUUUAACCCCAACGCCGUGGGACGCAAUCAGAUGCCCAGGCUCACGUGAUGUACAUCUGCGGCUGAGUCAACCACCGAUCUCAUCUCUAUGACAGAGAUGCAAAUACCUGCUUCCGGGUGCACAGCGAGGCCCGAAAGAGCCCAUACCUUUUGUGCCAUUUGACGCAUGAGCACCAGCAGUACAUGGUUCUUCUCUGGUCUGUGGAGCCGACCUUGAACUCCUGAUCCUCCUGACUUCCUGUCCCAAGUGCUAGGUUAAUAGAGGACCCAAGUUUGAUUUCCAGCACCCACAUCUGACAGCUCACAACCACCUGCAACUCCAGCCCCAGGGAAUCGGAUCAAAUGCCUUCCUCUUCUGGCUUCUGGAAGCUCUUCCGUGCGGGUGACUCACACAUGAACCCCGUAAAAAGUCGAGAACUAUAGAGGAAAACAAUUAGCUUCAACAUACACGCCCCAAAGAGAACAAGUGCAUAUACAAUGUACACAUAUAAAUAAAUAAAUAAAUAAAAUUACGAUACAGUA